rnacentral:ncRNA from 1 species
GGGCACCUACGGGGGCCUAAACCCAAGCCGGGGCAACCCGGCAGACAUAGCAAAACGGAAGACAGCAA